ACCGUCCUCUCACCCCUCCCUUCUGUCCCCCUCUUCCUUCUGUGGUCAUUGCUUCUCACAGACUGCUCUAUUGCUAUCAUGUGAUCAGUGGUCCACUCCUACCAUCCAUCCCUUUCUUCUCUUGCUUUGUAAUGUUCCAGGAAAAAGUUUGCUCUGCAUCUCAUAAAUGCAGCUUAUUCCCUUGUCUUUUUAUUUACUUCUCUUGCCCUCACCACCCACCUCUGACCAUCAGAUCUCAUUUGGAAUUAUUCACUUCCGCAGGGCAGCCUCUACUGGGCCAUGCUGACUGUAGUCACAUUUUAUCCCGUAGUUUUCCAGCUUAUAUUUGCUCCAUUUUUUAUUUCUAUUUAUUUUAUUUUAUCUGUCUGCCUGUCUAUAUCCCACACAUGGAGGUAUAUAUAGUCCCUUGUGAUGUAAUGAUGUUUUUGUUUUUUAAUUGGGCUUGUAGUGUUUUUUAAUUGGGCUCCAGUAUUUACUGGGACCUUACCAUGCCAUUGGUAUGCAAGGUCUUGGAGCUGGAGAGAUGGCCCAGUGGCUAAGAGCACUUGCUGCUCUUCCUAAAGACCCAAAUGGUGGCUCACAACCGCAAUUCCAGUUCCAGGGGAUCUGAUUCCCUCUUCUUGCCUCUGAGGACUUCUGUGCACACAUGGUACACAGACAUAAAUGCAGGCUAAACAUCUCUGUACAUAAAAUGAAACUAAAAGGGCUCAGGGAAAGUGUCUUUGCUCUUACCUGAGAGCAAUGAGAAGUGACCCGGCGAGUAGCUGCCAGGGUGAUGGGGGACACAACAGAAGGAAAGUACUAAGAAGAUGGACAGAAAAAGUACAUUGGUGUUAUUUUAUUCCCUCCUUGAUGCUGUGAUAAAAUACUCUGUCAGAAGCAACUUAAAGGAGAAAGGGUUUUAUCUUGGCACACAGUUCACAGCCCAGUCAUUAUGGAAGGAAGAAGUCAAGACAUCUUGAAGUAUCUGGUCACAUCACAGUGACAGCAGGGAAGCAGAGAAUGGCAAGUGUGUACACAGCUCACUUCUUCCUUUCUAUACUGUCCAGAUCCCAACCAGGGAAUGAUGCCAAGCACAGUGGGCAAAUCUUCCCCUAUGAGUUAACUAAGUCAAGACAAUCCCCUCAGGCAUGCUCAGAAACCCAUCUUCCUGGUGUUUCUAGAUUUCAUCAAUAAUUGAAAUUAAUCAUCAUAGAAAACCAGUGACUGGCUAGAAGCUAGUUGUGUAGUGGGUGCUUGGUAGACAUGGACCAGCUGUUCUGAUUUGCGUCUAUAAAAUGGAGCUAAUGAAACCUCCCACAGAGGGGCGUUGACAAGAGGAAAGCUCACAGUAUGGUGUUUAACUUUUGAGGCACUAAUAUAGAAUUCAUGUACUGUUGUCCUGUUGGUCCAUUGUGUGUCCUUUAGAUACUGGCUCCUGCUUUAGCAAUGUUGUACACUUUAGAUUGUCAGUACUUGAGAGGUAAAGAAUGCCAGCCAUCAUUCAGUAAAAGUAUCUAAUACCUGAGCCAGGUGUGAUGGUACACACCUUUAAUCACAGCACUUGGGAGGCAAAAGUGGAGGGAUCUCUGUAAAUUUGAGGCCAGUCUGGGUCUAUAGAGUGAGUUCCAGAACAGCCAGGGUGACAUAGUGAUACCCUGUCUCAAAAAACAAACAAACAAAAAUAACAACAACAACAAAAAAAAACACAAACAGAAUGGCAACUCUUCUCUGGCUGAUGAGUGCUGUAGUUUGAAUGUGUUCCCCAAGAGUUCAUGUUGGAAGCUUAGUCCCCUAAGUGUUUUUUAGAGGUUGUUAGGGUGAGAUUAGGUAAAGUGAUGAGAGUAUCGACCCAUGAUGCAUUAGUCACUCUAGAAGCAGAGAGUCUUGCCCUAGAGCACUUGUUCUAUCUUCCCAUAUGAUCCCCUCUGCCAUGUUCUGAUGAAACAAAGCUCCUCUCUAGCCACCAAGCCAGUGUCAGCACCGUGGAGUUCCCACAAUUCAGCCUACUGCUUACAGAUACUCAGUCUAGGUGCUGGCUCACUGUAUGCCUAAGCCAUAGUCCUUUUUCUAUGAGAGAAGAUGGGGGGAAGAAAGGAAGAAUGGACCCUAGCCAUCUCCACCACUCCUCAAGGAAUACAGCAACUUCCUGUUGGGUGCAGAUAGAUGUGAGUCCCUUAUGGUCUCCCCUGGGAAAACUCUGUAAAUGACCAUAGUUACUAUAAUCAAAACAGCUUUUGUUUGGCCCAAGUGGCUUUGUGUUAAAAUGUGAUAUCAAAAGUGUCUACUCCCAGUGGGAGUGGUGGUGGCAUUUGGGAGGCAGAGGCAUGUGGAUCUCUGAGUUCAAGGCCAGCCUGGUCUACAGAGCGAGUUCCAGGAUAGCCCAGAGUACACAGAGAAACCCUGUCUCAACCCCCCCCCCCCCAAAAAAAAAGAAAAGCUAUGUACUCCUUGUUGAAGUUAGUUUCCUGAGGAAAAGCACUGUGUCUAGGUGGAAGAAAAGUCUUGGGUGAGCAUUUACUAAUGGAGAACCUCUAAACAUAAUAUCUGAAAGGACAGAAAAUGUUAAUUUAACUUCCUUCCUAGGUCUAGUUGGGUAUGAUUUAAGUAAGGCAAGAAAUGUAGAAUGCCUGCCCUGAGGUUUCUACUUUUAGAGUAGCUGUGAGAGCGAUAGGAGGAAUCCAAAGAAAUGUCUGGAGAGUCGAUACAGGGAUUCUGCUUCUAUGAGUAGAGCAUUAGUGAGGAACAUGGCCAGUAUUCCAUAGACGAAAAUGGAUCACACAUGUUUAUUUAAGAGUGUCUAAAAGAAGACCCUUAAAUUUGGGGGUUUCUCUUCUGCUUUAGGAUGUCAGGGGUUUAUUCAAUAUAUAGAACAUAAAUAUAACCUGAGGUUAAAAACUUCUGUUUUUCUUUUCUGUCUUUAAAAAAAAAAAAACAAAGUCUCUAUUAUGUAGCUCUGGCUGUGUUAGAACUCACUCUGUGGACCAGGCUGGCUUGGAACUCACUGAGAUCUGCCCACUUCUGCCACCUGAACGCUGGAAUUAAAGAUCCAGAGUCUGGAAAACUGAAGACCACUGAACCUGGCAUUGGGCUAGGACUUUGUUGAUGUGCCAUCCUGCAGGGGAGACCAGAAAGAUGAGAGAAUAAAGGCCCCUUGCCAAA